GAGUCGACCUUGCCUCUAAAAAUAUCAAGUAUACCAUAGCUCCCCACGGAGUUCCAUCUUCGUGCACGCCGCCUCACCCAAUUCCUCGACUCCUCCGUUGAGCACUUGAUUCCGUUGUUGAUCUCUCUGCCACCGCUCCCUCCUCUUGUUAACCACAUCCAAAUCAGACAUGGCCGACUUCCAUACUGCUCCCAAAUCCUGCACCUCCCUUUGCCUGUUCCCGUGCACGACACCGCUUGCCGUCCCCACGCCCUUUCGUUAUGAAAUCUGCCGCCGCCGAUCCCAUUGGUGCCGUUAUCUCCUACAGCCAUCUCUCUGUUGUGGAGCUGCGCAUCGUCGUCACCGUCGACGCCCUCUUAUCCACCGAUUUAUGCAUCAACGCUGCCUAAGCUGGUGGUCGCGCGACAUUGGGCCGCCCGCUGGAUAGAUCCUUGGGACCUAUGUUGCUGUGCGGUGUGCGUACCAUGGUGGGUGUGGCCACUGCUUGGCGGAUCCAUGAGUAUGAGACCCAACCAGGGUGAAUGAAGUUGUUCACGCUGUGGAUGGAUCCACAAGGACCAUGAGCAACAACAGCCGUUCUCAUCUCAUCUUGGUUCAAAUGGGAGAUGACAAGACUGGCUAAGUGGUAUCCAUGGAACCUUGAUGUUUCUUGUGUAGAACCUGCAGAAAAAUUGUUUCUCUGCCUGCAGAAAAUUUGUUUUUCUGCCUAUGUUGAUUACUUGAGUCAGAGCCUAGGUUGCAUAGUCCAAUUUGAUUUUGUUCCUGCACUAGUUCAUGCUGUCAAUUUCCCUCUCUGUAUCAUUCUAAUAGUAUUUUAGUGUAGAAGAUUUAUGAGUAACUAAACAAGAGGUGAUACUUGGGCUCUCAGCUUUCUCCAUUAUAUUUACCUUUUCGGGACUUCAUGAAACACAAGUAUAAGAGUCCUUUGUGUUAAUUGCAACCAACUCUUGAAAUUUCCUUAAGUUACCUGUUUGCUGAGUACAAUACGAAAUUGUUUUUCCCCUAAGGAUCAUCUCCUUUUUUUUUGCACGCAUAAAGUCAUGUUACUCAAUGAUCAUGAUGCAUCAAUGUCAUGGAUCAUAGUUCAUGUUAUCUUUAUGGCUGGGUUUCAAAAAGGUUCUUAAUGCCACUUUAUCUGUUCAGAUUUAGUGGCCUAAUGCACAGAUUCAGCUAACAAUUUAAUCAAUUAAUGUGUUGCUAUAUGCCACCUCUUUUUUUUUCAUCUAUUUCAGUUUGCCUUUUGCUGCUGGGAUGCAAUAUGAGGGCUAAGAUGACGAAAGCAGAGAUACGGCACAUCUUUGCCUUUUCUCAGUCUUACAAUACUUCAUGGCGUUCAUUAGUGAUUGCAUGAAGCCAUAUGCAGUGGUUUUAAAUUUUUAGCGUUAAGAAAUUAGUGCCUUUUUGCCCGUGCUUGCGGUAUUAGUGAAAUGGUAGUGCAGAGAAAUCAAUGUCUUUUGUCAUUGCUUACCUCAUUUAUGAAAUGAUAGAUAAUAUAUGCAGAUUUAGGGAUUUUAUUUAUUAACCUAUCUGUUCUCCACAAGGUUUCAUGCUAAUUUUAUGGAUGAUAAGAUUGUUCUGACGUGUGCUUUUCAGAGUUUGUCAUGCUCUGUGUUUCUGUAGAUAAGAUAUACUGUUAACAUGCUAUCAAAUGUUUUUCCAGGGAGAGAUAGUUCUAAUACCAUAAUGGACAAUGUUUCUCUGUUACACAUUCAGCAAAAUACUAUUUACUAAUUCAGCUUUACUGAUUUUUUGUCGAACACGCAGGAGAGCUGCGUAUCUUUAUAUUAAGAGAGAAAGAGCAAUCCAAUUACAAAAAAAAAUUCAUUCCACACCUUGGACCAUAGCGAGGAAUGAUCUGAGCUAGAAAGGCCAAUUACACAAACUCACGCUUGAAGGACCUGACCAUAACACCCCCUACUACUAGACCUGCACCACCUCCCUCUCAAGGUGCGAGGCAGCAAGCCUCUUAGCCCCGAGAGUUGCCAAAGGUGAGAUUCCUCCUGAAAGGCCUGCAGAGCCACCUGCAGAUUUGGGGCAGCCCCAUCAAAAACACAACUAUUCCUAUGUUUCCAAAGGAUCCAUGCACCCAGGAUGCACAAGGAGUUAAAGCCUUUUCUAUGCUGCUUCUGAAUUCUCCUUUCGGCCUUCUUCCACCAAUCAGCGAACACUACACUCCAUGUGGGCAUCAGUCAAUCCAGGUUCAGGGGCUUCAAAAUGGCAAACCAAAAUUGCCUAGCAAAGACACAAGAAGUCAGGAUGUGUUGGAUGGUUUCCUCCUCCUGAUCACAAAGAGGGCAGCGAUCUGGGUAUGGGAGGCCUCUUUUUUUGCAGGCGGUCAGCAGUCCAACAUCGAUUCCUAAUAGCCAGCCACACAAACGUUUUACAUUUUCUAGGGGCCCAGGUCUUCCACACUUUCUUCCAUGGUUUAAAGGUGAUGGCACCGACAAAGAAGUUCUUAUAGGCUGAUCUUGUUGAAAAAAUUCCGGAGGCUUCUAGCUUCUACCGGUGAAUGUCCUCUGUAUCAUUCAGGUUAACAUUUGCCAACAUGUCCCAAAGCUCAAGAGAUACACAUUUGACAACAUUUGGGGCUAGAUCCUCAAGAUGGCUGCCAUGUAACCAACGAUCAGUCCAAAAACAUGUUGUCCUACCAUUACCCACCAAAGAUUCAGUGGCUACAGCAAACAUAGCAACUGCAUUGGGGUAAACUGGAAUUUCAAGACCAGCCCAAGGCCGAGCAGCUCCAGUUUUCUCAAGUCAAAGCCAUCUCAUUUGCAGCGCCCAACCCAUGAUUUCGAGGUUAUGAAUGCCCAGUCCUCCAAGGUCAAUGGGUCUCAUUACCUUCUCCCAGACUACUAAACAACAACCACCAUUGGCCUGUUUCCUGCCUGACCAAAGGAAGCCUCUUCUUAUUUUAUCAAUAGCUCGAAGGAACCACUUGGGGACUUUAAUAGUGAUCAACAAAUGAAUAGGAAUUGCAGUGAGCACAAACUGUACAAGCACUGCUCGACCAGCCAAUGUUAGCAAGGAAGCUCUCCACCCUGGCAAUUUGUUUGCUAUCUUCUCGAUCCAGGUUGAUUUGCAGCCCUGAGGCUUCACCAAAACAGCGCAGAAUGUCCUUUGUGAGCUGUAAAUCUUCUUCAGUUGGUCUGAUAAACAGAGCCACAUCAUCAGCAUACAAUGAGAGCCUUUGCCCGGUGGACUGUAGAGGAGAAAGUAAUCCUUCAGCUUCAGCCUUGAGAAAUAGACUGUUUAGAACAUCCAUGACUAAAAUAAAUAGCAUCGGGGAGAGAGGAUCCCCUUGGUGCAGACCUCGCUGAUGUGAAAUAGAAUGCCCUAGUUCUCCAUUAAGCAUAAUUUGGGUGGAUGCAGUAUGUAACAAGUUGGAGAUGAUAGUUCGCCAGGCAGGACCAAAUCCCAAGUGUGAAAGAAUCUCCAACAAGAAAGACCAGUCCACUGAAUCAAAUGCCUUUGAGAUAUCCAGUUUCAA